ensembl:lncRNA
CUUUUCCUUUCUUUUCCUUUCUUUUCUUUUUUUCCUUAUUGCAUGUUACAGUUAAAAGUAAGCAUAGCUACAGGUAGUUAGGACUAACUUCAAAAAGCCUUUUUGUUGUGGAGUGGCUCGGCACAGUGAGUAUCUGUGGCUGCUUGUAAUGCAACAAACUCUUCUUUCCAGAGCCCACAACAUUUAUAGGUCUUUCACCACUUACAGUGAUUUACUGCUCCAUUUGACCCAUCUUCCAAGGCUCUGCAGCUACAAGAAAACAUUUUUUUUCUCUUGGCAAUUUUACCUUCUCUCUUUUCCCAUCUUCUCUCUGGUUUGUUCCUGGGCACCUUUUACCAAGCUCUGUAUUUCGGUGGCGCUGCCUGUCCUGCCCUGUUCUCAGGGGCUCUGCUGGCAGGUCUGUCUCAAUGUCACCUGUAGUUGGGCUGUUGGGAGAAGCACUGUCUCCUGUCUGUGGUCUGUGGCAUGUGUCUGCUUCAUACAUCAGCCUAAGCUUUGAAAUGAGCCUGCAUAUGCAUUCCAGGAACAGCACAUUGUUCUAACUGGUAACAAAAAUACAUGACUAACGUGCUUCUGAUAGAGCCGCUUCCUCUUAACCUUAAAGUUGAUUUUUUGUUAAUGACUUCUUCCUCCCAUGGAAACGUGGAAAACAGUCUGGGACUGCAGGUUGUUAUUCAGUAAGAAAAACACAUGAUGAAGUUUGACAUUUCACAGGAAAAAGAUGUCUAAAGAUUUAUAUCAAUGGGUUUUAUUUACUGUUUUUCUGUUCUUGAUUUUUUUAAACCCCGAAAACAAAACUCAUGCAUUGCUAUAAAGGAGGUGGGCAAGUCUUUUUCAGCAGUGAGCAGUCUGUUGAGUCACAGUAACGUACGUUCUUUCCCCAUGCUUUUUUUCUUUAAAAGAAAGAAAUUGUUAAUCAUCUACAUGUAAAAAAUAUGGAAAAUAAACCAUUGUUUGAUCACCGUAUGUCAGAAUAAAAUUAAAAGCAGAGAGAAAACAUAACAUGAGGGCUUGACAUGGUUCGCUUUGUUCUGUUGUUCCCGUGCCCACGUGCCCAUGUUGUGUUCAUUUUUUAAAGCUAAAAAAUCAUAAAAUUCAUAGGAGAUGGGCAGCGUUUGUUCCUUAUUCAAAGCCCUUCUUCCACCACAAGGCCUCCGCUGCCUGCUAAACUUGCAGGAUAUGGAUUCUGGUCACAGGAAUGCAAACCAGUGAUUUACUCUGCUUUUUCUUCUUUUUGCCUGGGGUUUAACCAGUACAUUAGACUAAUAUUUUCUUGCUUGCUAGUGGCAGUUUCUGUUUCUUUUUUUCUUUCUUUCUUUUUUUUUUUUUUUUUUGGUAGUGGAAGUCAUUAGAGUUUCUCCCAAGAGAAUCACUGCCAAAGUAAACAAACAUCUUCAUGAAAGGAAAAUAAUGUCUGAGGAGCAUUCAGAAUUCCAUGUUUUACAGAAGAGUAUUUAUGGCAACCAACUAGUGAAUUAAAGUGAAAGAAAUCCCAUUACUAGUUUGCUGCUUCUGCUGUGCUAAUCGAAAGUGGCAAUUUCUGCUUGCUUCUCUGCGCUACAGUGCAGGGUCUCAGUAUAAGCUGUAAUUUAAAAUGAAGGAAAUUAUGAGAUGAAACUCUUUUUAGAAGCAGUGUUAUGUUGGGUUUGCUUUUAUUUUUCUUAAUUGUUGGUAAUUGUAUAGAGCUUCUGCAUGUAAAACUCAGGGGAACUGCUAUUGUCUCCAAAAUGUUCUGCGUGUGGUUGGCAAGAACAACAAGCACAGAAGAAAGUUCAGCUAAAAAAUUCAUAAAAGCUGCCUGGUGGAAUGCAUUGCAAUCAGCUGUACACCUUGGUGCUCUUAUCCCUCUGAACUGAUCAUUUUUAGCUGAGAUGAAACAUUCUGAGGAGCAGGAGCCUGGCAGAUUUGCGGCGUAGAUUGUUUGAAGGUUUAAACACUGUGACUAUCUCAUCUUACUGCAAGUCUGUAGAUAGAACAUAAGCUCAAGUUGCUGAAAAGUGAUAGAAUGGCUCUGUGUGCACAGCCUACAAAACUGUGAAGGGCUUAUUUUCUGUGUGCUUUCUGCGUUCCCUCCAGGAGAGCAGUAAUUCCCCAGUGGAGCAAGCACACUUUGCAUUUGUUGAGGAUGAGACUGUCUCUAGUCCUUUGUUUGGGCAGCGGCUUUCACAAAGGGGACCAGUACUCACUGGGAACUUGCCAGCACCAUCAUAUGUUUCAUGACAAAUGCUAAGUGUUCAGAAAGUUGGCACUACAAAAUAGAGAUACUGUUAAUCUCUGUUUAAUUCUCAAAAUGGCUUGUAGGAUUUUAAAGCUUGUGUUGUUGCUGGUGCACUCACCCAUCAGAUAGCAUUUUUAACAGCCCUUCUAAUAUGGCCGGUUAAUUUGGUUAUAUUACUAGGAUGUAAAACAAAAUGAUUCCUAGGAUAGAGAUUGCUAGAUUGCUAAGAUUUUACUGCCGUUUUUUUCCUAUCUGCUGCGUGCUGAAGAACAGUGUGUCCAGCCACAUGUAUUGCUGUAGUCAGACCAUGGUAUUUUCUCAUCUUCUUUCCCAUGUACAGCUCAGACACAGCUGCCGCUAUUUACCAAACACAAAGGUGUUUUUCACAGCUCAGAGAGUAUGUUUGGGUUCUGCUGUAAGGAACGCGAGAUACAUCUCUAUUAAUUGCAUGAAUGUUCAGUGUAUGUUUAUGUACCUGGAUACUGUGGUGUUCUCUUUGGAAUUUUAGGGAGCGAGCUCAUAGAUCUUUGGAUACGUCUCCAGAGACAUGAUGAUUCCAGCGUCAGAAUAAUCUGCUCCAUAACGUGACCACAUUUAGGAGACCAGCUCCUGGGAGGAGACCCAAGGAGACAUCUUGAAAUUUCUGAGCAGAGAGGCUUUUGACACAGAGUUGGUGUACGCCGGAUGGCAUCCAGUUGGUAGCCUGCAUUGCUGGUGCAGCAGGAGGAAGCAAGCCUCUGACAAGAGCUAGAUAUGUCACCCUGCAGGACUGCACGGACAGCUUAAAUGGAGUGUAUGUUUGCACCUAAGCAGACUGUUAAGGUCUGAUGAAAGGAUGCGUUUUUCAUUGCUAUUUGUUGUAUGUAAGAGAAAUUGGCAUCUGCGCAUGUGUCUAACAACUCAGAAGUGUGGUCUAUAUGCAAGCAUAAGUGAAGUGCAAUAUAACAAAUGUAAUGAAAAGCAAGAUGAGAGAUCAGUUGGGUGCACGGCUGGAUGAAGAGUGAGUAGAGAACACCGGACAGAUGUUUGCAAAGAGGUCUCAACAAGGAGUCCAAGAUCCUUCCUGGAGUGAUUAUUUAUAAUUUAUCACAGUGUUUGUGCAAUUAGGGUGUUUUUUCCCCCCACGUGUAUUCCUGUGCGUCUAUCGAUAAUAAAUGAUGCGUGGUUUUAUGUUGCUGAAUCACUCAGCAUUCAGUAUGACGAUGCCUUUUGAAGUAUUGACUGUUCUAAGCGAUUUCCAUCAUCAGCAAACUUAGCUGCCUCGUUAUUAAUCCCCUCUUCCAGAUCGUUUGUGAAUGUAGUGAAGAGAACAAGUUCAAGUGCAGAUCCCUGAUCUCUUCUCUCCCAUGGUGAAAACAAUUUAUUACUACACUUCAACAAAUCAUUAAUCUACCAAAGAAUUUCCAUCCUUAUGAUAACUCAGUUUCUUUAAGAGCUUUUAGAGAGAGAGAUGUUGUCAAAACACUUUGACUUCUGGAAAUCCAAGAGCAUUACAGCAAUCCGCAUUCACCACCAUGCUGACUGCUUUCAGGAACUGUACCAUCGUCCAUUUCAUCAGCCCACAGCAGGCUGUAAACCCUACAUUUGGUCAGGUUUCUUCUUCCGCAGAUGUGACGUUAUUUGUGUACUAAAAAUAGUGGCGAGCGCUUUCAUUACUUGUACAAAGGCUUCUAGCAGUUAGUGACAGUUUCUAAGUGAACUUAUUGCUAUGCUGCCAGAAACUCCAGAGCGAGGUACAGAUUUCCAUUGACCCCGAAUGCAGCAUGGUUUCUUUGUGAUAGAAGUCUUCUAUUUAUUUUCCAUAAAUGACAUAUCCCUGAAGCAACGGUGAGGGAAUGAAAGUUGCAUUUUAUCACUGUAACAUUUGCAGAAAAGUGAACUGCUAAACUCCCUAUUCAUAAUGAAACUUCGACUGGCCGCGAGUUCUUAAAAAGCUUACCUGCAGGUGCACAGCUUUUUUUUUUUUCCCCCUUAAAAAUUUAUAUCUGAGCCUUAUGAACUUCUGAUUAAACUUUUAAAAUAAAUUAAGGGUGAGAGGAUUAGACAGGGAAUUGGAAAUGAACUGUGGUAUCUUUUGCCUCUAGCUCAGCAUUUUGAAGGCAGCCCAAAUGAGAUGUGACAAAGUGCAGUGCUCUCGUUUCUUUCUGCUGACCUACGUGCAAGUGGAGUUUGGUCUCUGCCAAGUUCUUUGUGUGAACAGCCACGUCACCGUCACUGCUAGUCUAAUUAGCAGUAAUUAGACCUUUGUUGGAAUUUAAAAUAAAUAGGCCAUGAUUUGGAUAUCACAGUGACUAAAUUAUCCACUUAGAUGAUCCCCUCUGUGGGUGAACAGCCUGCUGCUCCCAGCCCUCCCUUUUCCACAGAGUGACAGCAGUUACAAAGAUCUGAUUUAAAUGACGAAUACGUCCAGCUUGUGUUUUGCAGAAUGCCGUGUCCUGUUUGAAAUAGAAACUGUAAAAUCCUGCAGGACAGUCCCUGAGUGAGACUAAUAAAGCCACGUUUUAAUCCGUUAAGGGCUGUAGUAGCUAUUAUUUCCUUCCUGCCCUCGAUGGAGGUGUGAAGACUUUCAGAGGAAGCACCCACCAGCAGACGUUCAGAGGUUCCUACUGCUUCAGCCCCUAUCUGAACUUCCUAUUGCUCCUUCUCAGGAGAAAUUAUUUCAUUAGCCUGGGUCAGCCCUUUCUGAACAUGUCUGUUUCUUACCUUAUUUCUGCUGCCUGUCAUGCUGUCCCGCUGCCAGAGAGUAUUUUCAGACCCGUAGGUCUGACUCCCUAGGCGUUUCUCCUGGACUUUGUACACCACUUCUUGUCCUAGGAGAGGAAAGGAAAGUGUGCAUUUCCAGUGGAGCACUGCAUGCAGCUUUUUUCUGCACAUGUGCCCUCUAUGGAUUCUUGUUGAUUUCCUGACCCUUUUCUGUUUGAUUGACUCUGAAAGCCCAGCUGAUUCUUCUGUUCUCCCCAAAGCACCUAUGGGAACUUCUGUAACUUGGUUGCUUCUAUCCAAAGUUUUUCUUUGCUUCUUUGAGAAAAGAGAAAGUCGUAGCACCUGAAAGUGUGCCAGUUUCCCAAUCACACUGGUUGCCAGUGAUUGGCUGGGUCAAUAGAGACUGGGGUGGGAAAGCCUGGUCCUGCUGCAGGUCAGAGCAGGGCACGUGAGACUUCUGAUCAGAAUGUGGUGGCAUAGGAAUCCAUCAGUGCUCUUCUGGGGUGGUGGUCAUUGUCCUGACAGCCUCUGCAUUAUGAUAAUGGGGAAAAAAAAGUUAAUGUUUGUUUCACUGAUGUAUUUCACAAUGAAUUACUCUUGGCAUUAGAGCCGACUACAUGCAAUGGACAACUGCACUGCUUUAAAAAUCCUGUGCAUUAUGCCAGCAGUGUAGGGGUCUCCAAUCUUCAAACACAGACACAUGGUUUCAGAGAACACAAACACUAGGUGUUGAUCUGGAAGUAAAGAGAAGCAGUGUGAAUCUGCUUUUCCCAUAUUUUCAGCCAAUUGCUGGCUAUUUAAAAUCUUUAAUCUAAACAGAUAUUUGGAUUUAGUUUCUGAAGAGCAAAAGCCUGUCAGCUAUUUCAGUGAGGGCAACAACUUAAGCUGUCAAUAUAUCAUUCCUGAAACAAGCAUAAUUUCAGCAAUCAAGUAGGAGAUAUUUCUUGUAGGUCCGCAAUUCCUUGUAGAGAGAGUUCAUAUCAUAAUGAUGUGCUCUGUGGAGGUGACUCAUUUGCACAUUUUGGAGUUCAGACAAAGUCUCUGUGUUAGCUCUCUUUCCUCUCCUACCUUCCACGUGUUCUCCUGGAUUCAUAACAGAAUGAUUCUUUCUGUUACAUAAGACUGAAAUGGCUUCUCAUUUUCACUUUCUUUAUGCAUAAGAGGCUUAUAAAUGUAUUGAGUUAUGGCUGAGGAAACUAGAAUACAUGCUACCUGAAAACCAUCAUAAAUUGUUCCAAAAUGAUCUUGAUUAAUUAAAAAAAAAUUGGUUUUGCUUUGUGCUAGUCCAACUAUUUUGACAACUACUUGUGCUGUAGUGCACAAGUGGGGAUAUAAUCGCACAGGGCUGAAGAUGUCUAAUAAUGAAGUAGUGACACCCAGUUCUGUAUAUGCCAGCAUGGCUACGUGAAUGCAAUACACAAAGCCAGAUGUACCAUUUUAACUGCACAAGGAUAUAUUCAAGUAUGUUUAAAAUGGGCAGCGUGACAUUUAUGUGUAUGUGUGUAGGUCUCACUGAAAGUAGUGCCUCCUAUUUAUUUCCAUGGAAACAACAACAGAUACAAAGAGCUCAAUAACACUAUUUGAUAGAGCAAGCCCUCAGCAACAGAACACUGUUUUUCAACAUAGUCACCACCAUUAGCUGUGCAUUUUCACCAGGGAUGAAUAAGAGCCUGUGUGCCACACUCAUGAAAAUCUGUACCAGCAGAGAUGACCCACUGUUGCACAGCUGCUAUGAUGGCAUUGUUGCUAGGAAAAUGUUGCCCAUGCAGUCUGUCUUUCAUUGGCCCGGACAGAUGGAAGUCAGAAAGUACCAAACCCAGAUAGUAGGGGGGUGUGAUAGGACAGUCCAGCCGAGAUACAGUCCUGUACAGUACAGUACAGUAAGACCUUUGGUGACUGAAAUUGGAUCGUUUGCAUUUUAAGAGGUGGCUUAGAAUCCACAAUUUCCAUUUGAAAUAUUUUCAGGUGUGCUUUUACCAUUAUCCUUACAAUUCCAUCUAUGUGCUUGUUUCAAGAAAAUUACAUGAUUUGUUGGUUUGAGACAAUUUUACCUUCAUAAUUAAUCUGUUUAACUUUUCUCCAGCUGUCACAGAUUUGCUGACCAGUAAAGAAGUCCUUCUAGAAAGCCGAAACACCUUGUUAUGAAACAGGCUGAUUUGGGUUGGAUUUUGAACAAAGCUGUGCUCUCCGCUUCAUUAGUUUUAUUAAGUGAGAUAAAAGAAUUCUUACAGUAGUGUUAAAUUAGUACCUCAUCUCUGGAUGACAAUCAUGCUUAUGGCAAGACCAUUCCCAUCACUUGUGGUGCUUGAAAGCACUGUGAAAACUCCAAGAAACCAAGAUCUGGCUAUACAUCAUCAGGUAAUACCUCCAUGUUAAUGUGUGGAAGAAGAAAUGAGUUCACCUCUUUCGGAGUUAAGAAAGAUUAUGGUCAUAUCAAGAUUUAUGCUAGCUUCAUUUUAGAUGAUACUGAAGAUGAGUAUUUUUUGCAAUACAAGUUUGAAUGUAAGUGUUAGCAUAUUUUCACACUUUUUAGUUAUGAAACAGAAACUAAUCAUGAGAAAUAAGAACCUCCUUCUCAGGGUACCGUGAGUUUCUUACCUAUUGCCACACCCUGCCUGCAAUAAACAGAUCUCUUAAUUGCAGCUAAUCUGGAUUUCCUUAAAUAAACCCAACCAAAUUCUGUUUAUCGGCAAUGUUUCUACUUCAAUCAAACUCCUGAGGUGGAAAUUUCUCAAUACUCAGUCCUUGGGAGGAGCAGCUUCUAGGGAAAAGGUGGGAAUAAAAAUACUUCCACAAUUAUGUUCAGCACUGUUUGUCAUCAUCUCUUCUUAGUGUCCCGAGCAGAAGCACCAGUAGUCUUUCUGAGUAAAACAGACCCUUAGACUGAUUCUUCACCUCUCAGUAGUUACUUCUGGUAUAGCAGAACUGGAUUAUGACUGACAAGGUGGAGGUAGGAAGCUUUGCUGGGAUUUUGGCUUCCUUAAAUUUAGUUUUCCAGUACGCUGUCAAAAAGGUUUCCUGGGUUGCUUUGUACCAUUAUCUUCGCGCGGCAUUUAUGUGCAUAAUUCAGUAUUUACUUUAACUUUUAUUCCACAGCAAUUGCAUUCCUUUUUGUAACUAUUUUGUGAAUGAAGCAAGCCUAAGAAAUGUUCCUAUUUAUAGGUGGUGAUAGGCUUCACAGCCCUUUUGAUAAGUAAAGAACCAAACUGUUAAACUGACCAGUCUGGGUCAGUAUAAGGGAACACAUCAUUUUUAGUCCUACUUAUUUUUUGGAUAAAAACCUUUUUCAAGGGAAAAAUGUCAACAUAUAUCUGAAAUUAAGCCCUUCACAAUCCCUGCUCUGCCAUGUAAUUCAUAAAUUAAUGGAUCUAGAAAAGACCUUAAAAGGCUGUUAUCCGUCAGAAAUAAUACUUCUGUGUGUGCAGUGCCUAUCUCUCAUAAAAACUUGUGUUGGCUCUACGUUGAAUUAGCCUGUCUGUGAGUGUCAAAUCCUUUUGGGAAAGGAUGAAAGAACCAUAAAAUAAGUUUAUGUUGCUCAGUGCCCAAAUGUUAUAAGUGGCUAACACAAUAAGAGAAAAGCAGUAAAUUUGAUCUUUUGCAACAUGUAUAUUUAACAGUUGUAAAAAUUACUUCUGAGUUUGUUGGUAUUACACUUUUGUUUUAGGUGCUGCCUGCCAUAUAUCUGAAUUACUUAGACCUCUGAGUAAAGCUAAUCUUUCUUCUUAGAUCCAAGCCUAUAACUUUUAAGGUGACAAGAAAUCCCCCACAGAAAUCACAGAAAAACAGAAUAAAGCAAAUGCUUGCUAUUCAAAAGAGGUUUGCCAUCACGGUAUCUGAAAAUAUUAUUAUAAAGGUAAUAAGCAAAGCAUGACUACUCAUCUGUCUUAUUUUGUUUUUUAUCCAUUUUACGGAACAAGAAAUGUGCAUAUUAGAAUAUUAUGUUUGUUUUGAUGAAAUUUUAUCCAGUAACAUAUGUUGUGCUAUGCAAAUGUAUCUAUAAAUGAAGAAAUAUGCUUUGCAUUUGGAAUAAAAGGGUGUCGAGCACUUUCUAAUUUUUAUGAGGUCCUCGGGAAAGCCCUAAAUCUUUUCUCCCCACAGUGAGUUGUAAUCUUACUUUGUAGCAUUCAUUGUGUAAUUGUUGACCAUGGUCUUUUCUCUGGCAAUUUACUGAUCUUAGUCCCAGGACAUGAAAUGCCUUACAGAGCAAGACUUAGCACAUUCAUUGUUCUGUGGGAAGAUGCUGGAGAAAUUGUAAAGCCAGUGGGUUGCAUUUGCGAUAGCUUCUGUUGUGGAGGAGGGGAUCUGCUGUCUCUGUGGCAAACUGGAACCACCACAGUGCUACAGAUCUGUAUCUCAGGAUGUGUCAUCCAGCCAAGGCCAAUGGAAGAGGCUCGAGUAACUGAGGUCUGCUGGCCUGGCAAGGUGUCUUGGGUCCAGCUGGCAUCAAGAGAGAGCACUGUGCAUGAAUGUUGCCUUGUGAGUGUUUUAUAGCCUUGAGGAAUCCAGGGGUAUUCCUGGAGUGUGGACUGAGUUGGUAAACAAGAGUCUUAUCUGGGUGAAGGGAUCUGCACGCUCGAUGCUAAACUCAAUGCUUUUCCCACUGACACUGCUAUUGGCUUUUUGACUUUAUAUCCUUAAUCUAAUGUAGAGAUUGCACAAACUGGAAAAAAUAAAUAAAUAGUGUGCUCUGUUUUAAUAGGACAGAAAUUUGAAUUCUAAACGAAGGCUUUGAAAACAUGAACUUGUGACACUGAACUGAUUCUGUAUGACCUUUGUGUCCUUGCUGAGUUAUUUGCAGAAUUAGUUUUGGACAAUCUUUUUUCUUCCUUUUGGGCAGCACAUAUACAGCACUAUGGGGCUGCAAUAUUUCUAUCCUCUUAUCCUUGUGCAAAUAGGGUCAAAAUCAGGGAAGGGAACCCAGUUGGCACAGAUUUCAUUAUGCUGGCACAGCCCUCGUUCCCUGCCCAUCUCAAGUACAUCUGAUGUGAAUUGGCACCUCGGCUAAACUCUAGGCAGUGCUGUGUGUGUCAGGAUACUUCGGACCUCAUUGCUGGUUAAGGUGUUACUGCCUACUACUACCCCGCCUUCUAGAAACUGCCUCUACAUUUUGGCAUUAAUUACUAGUUGGGUUUGACAUCUGUGGUCCUUGCUUAUUAGUAGUUUACCGCAGAAGUCAUUUUUCUCUCUCUGUUAUAAACUGUGUUCAGGCAUGGUCUUUAAAUUUGAUAAGCAGACGUGCCAUAGUUUUGAAGCUCUCAUUUUCUUCCCCAAGCCUAAAAUAAUUUGAGAUAGUUAGUUGUGUAGACAAAGUUUGAUCCUUGACUCUUACAUGAGAUGCUUAGUGGUGCAUAUUCCAUCUAAAUGGUAUGGUUUUGUUUCAGUUGUACUGACUUAGUCAUGUAGUGUACACAGUGGAUUGGAUGCCUUAGUCCAAAAAUGUGCUUUUGUGGCACAGGUGCCUAGAGCACCAAAUUUUUGCACUUCCAUUGUGUACAGAUCCAAACAGAUAAAACCAACUUGCUCUAUUCAUUGCAUUAUGUGUAGAUUUAAAUAUCUUGUGUGUAGGUAUUAGGCACGUACAAAGACAAGUCAUUCAUAUUCUACAACAUUAGUUUUCAAUUAUUGCCUAACACACUUAGUACUUCUGUGCCCUUCUACUCUCUAACAGUGUCUCAUUGGAAGUAAAUGACUAUUUCUUUUACUUUAUCCCAAAAGACAAAAGUAGUUUUAUGUCAUUCCUAAACCUUCACAUCAUAAAAAAAAUAUGGUGCUUUUUCUUCCUGUUUUAUUCUGUGUCUAUUUUGUGUCGUGCUUGGAAUCCCAGUCAAAAUACUUCACAAGUUGUUUCCUUUCUUGCAUAAAACCUUCUCCAGCCACAUGAGGAAUUUACUUGUAAAAAAAUCCAACGCCAAAUGCGAAGUCAUUCUGAACUAACAAGUAAUCCAGUAGGCUUUCAAUUCAACAGCAACACAACUAUUGCCUCCACAAGUAAAGAUGAUACAUUUUGAAGGAGGGGAAGAGUACUGUAGCUUGCUUUCAGAAUAGGCAAUUACCUGUAUCACUUGCCUGUACCACUUAGGUUCUGGAGAUGCGUGGCUGUAAAGACUCGAAAAUCUGAAGAUGAAGAUAUUCCUAUUUUGUAGAAGUUGGUUGCACAUGUUGCCACUAUGGCAAUUCUUAGGACUUCUGAAAUGUAAGGAACAUGCAACAUCUUGGCGACCCUUCCCACGUGUCUCAUCAGCUAGCAGUGCUGUCAUAUCUACUGCCACUUGCUAAGGGUGCAAUGGCCAGAAUCCUUUUUACAGCACCAGAGCUGUAGGGUGUUAUCUUUCUGGCUUUCCUGGUAGUGAUCUCUGCAUCUUCACUGCAAGGCUGGGAUUUAUAAGUACAGUAAUUAUUUUACUCAUUGACCAUCCAGAGUAUAUACAUACUGAAGUGAAUCUGGUAAAAUAUGGAAUGGCUGAAUCUUCUGUUAAAACUCAAAGUGAAAAUGAGUAUUUGAGGUUUUUCACAUCCAAGUUUCCUCUAUCUCUCAGUUUUUAGUACUUUGUGUUCUUGGCAGUUUUUGGAGGUUCAGAAAGCACAAACACUAAAAUAUACGGGGCCAUUUCAGUUACAAUUAUCUUCCCAACACUGCCAAUCCCAAAUCAACCUCAAACAGCCUCAAAAGAGCUUCUCAACAUGAAAGGAAAUGGCUAAGAAUUCUAUACGAGCUUAAGUAUACUGGUAAUGGUAUUGCAAUUUGGAGGAUGGCCAAAGCAAUGCAGGAGAGCAGGAUGCACAGACCAGUCAGAGCGUUCUAUAAACAAUGGCUGCUGCUUGUGCCUGAGUGUUGGCAGUGCCUUUUUAGCCUGCUGCAGGACCAGCAGGGAGGGUGAACCAGGCGUGACCUAAGAACAAACCAAGAAGCUGGGGCAAACUAAAGUCAAGAGGUUUCUCACCUUUACCCACUAAGCCAAUCUCAGUAAGCUUCCAGCAAUGAAACAGUUAAUGAAGGUACUACAACAGCUAGUUUCAGGUUGAGUCGCUUAAGAUAUUUCUGGCACACAAGGUAGUGGCAGAAACCUUUUAACAUAUUCCCACGUGCUGGUGUUUAAACAGAAAUGAAGAAACAGAGCAGGACUCCUGGGGUGGGGCGGUCGUGUUUUUCCCCUGUACUGAGUCUCACUAAAGCAAGACUUCAGCCUGACUGCAUGGGCAAGAGCGUGGUCUUCAUCCCUUCCUUCAGCUCAGUGCUCUGUGCAGAUCCCACUGCAGGAAGAAGAUGCACGGUAUUUGCCUUAGUCACUAUGUGGGUUUACCCGGCCCACCACUGGCUCCAAGAGCUUUGCUUGGUCUUCCUGGUCUUUGUGUGCUGCACUAUUAAAAGUGCAGAUCAGGCAGCCAUCAGAGCAGGAGCUAUAACGUGUACUAAAAUGUGACAAUUUCAUACUUCAUAAUUAAACCAAUGGGGAGGUUAAAGAAGAGUUGCUUUUAUAAAGUAAAAAUAAGGAAUACAGCGUGGUAAGAGAUAAUCUGCCUUUUAUUAGGUCAGCUGGAAAUAAGACUUGAAAUACAAAUUCCUGUGUUUAUACAGGAUAAAAUCCUAUCCAGUGCUUCUGAUGUCACAUGGUAAUAUUGGAUGGAAAUAAGAUGAUUUACAUUUAUUGCAUGCCAUGUAAUGUAAUGAUCACCUAAAAAAGCUUUCCUUUGUCCUGAUUUAAAAGGAGAUCACAUUGUGCCAGGGAAAAUAUGGAAAUAACAGAUUUUGUGAACAGUGGGUAUGUGAAUAUAUAUUAGCUUAUAAUGCCUACAGCUUGUGAGAGCGUAGAAAAGGAGAUAUUUAUUCUCAACCUGAUGUUUUUUGAAUGCUCAGUAAUAAAGCUGGUGCUUCUAAAGAAUUUAAACUGGAAAAUUAAGGGUUUUAUAAAACAACGACUAAUUUGGGGAGGUUUGUUUUUUAGGUAGUUUUAUAUACUUAGAUAACAGUAGAAUUUGCCCUCAAAGCUGUUAAAACUGUAGUAUUUUUGCAUAAUCAAUAAUUUCUAACUGUAUGUAUCAACCUUAGUAUUUAGUGGUCCAUAUAUAUUGCUCAUACAUCAAACUAUAUGAAAAAAAAUAUCACAGCAAAACAACGUAGUGACAGAGGUAAGGUAUAUCUGUGUAUAUACCCUAUCAACUUUAUAGGUAAAGUAUUUUUCCCUAAUGCUGGGAUUUUUCGUGCUCUGUUUUCCCAACUAACAUCAGGGUAGCUGGUGGAACAGCUCCAUGAAGAGAAAUGUAAGCAAUGCUUUCAUGACUAACUCAGAGCCUGUGGGCUGGAACACUCAUUUGGGUAAUGAGAUAAUGUCACCAUCAGAUCUUAAAUAAGAGUUUCUGACAUUAGAGUCUGAACAGCCAUGCUACUUACAAUGAAAUUUUUGUGGCCUAUUUGGUGUUGUUCUGGAAAUAUUAAAUCAUUUCUCAUCAAGGUGUUUUCAAAAUCUGUGUGAUCUUUAUGAUAUGAUUCAUUUGACAGCAUUUCUAGAUUCUUUAAAAGUGGAAAACCCAAUAAACUCUGGGCUGCAUUCCAGUAAUAUAUCAUACACAAUUGUUUUAAAUAAAUUUGGUAGACUUGAAGUGUAUGCAAGGGUCCCAUGUUCACCACCUAAUUCUGUUAUUCAUUUAUAAACUGUACUUCAAAAAACAUGGAAUAAGGUCAAAACAGACGUGAAACUAAAGUUAAAUCUCUAUUAUCUGUUUACUGUUCUUCUUGAGUAUACCAUUUAUUUAAGUUUUAACUUUUAAACCCGUGAUAGAUUGAAAUGUGCUUUAUUUUUGUUAAUGAAAGGUGGGAUUUCCUUCUAUUCCCUUGUGUCUAAGACUUACAUGUCUAAGGUGGCAUGAUGAGUCAUUCUAAUGCUAAGAGAAGUAGUGAUAUUUCUCAAAAGAAACUGGUAUCAAAUGAUGCAUAGUGAUCUCUUGACGCUACACUGUUGUAGUGUCAUUGGUGGGAAAUUCCUUAGUGAAAUAGAUUUAAAUAAAAGAUAAGAAUUCUAAUAAAAAUUGUGAUAAAAAAUUGAAAAAAAAGAGAAGAAUUUUGAUUUUUUUAAUAUUUUUUAUAUUUUUAUUUAUUGUAUCGCUGAAUUUCAAGAUUUGAGCAUGGGAAAAAAAAUACACAACAACAUGAUCUCAACUCUCUGUGUGGAAAUCAUGGGCUCUGAGUUCAAUGUUACCACUUAGCAAUGAGAUCUUGGAAUUGUAAUGAAUAGUUCUUGUGAAAGCAUCAGUAGCAAUAAAAAUGUAAAUUGAAUGUUAGGAACUGUUAGAAAAGAAGCAGUGAACAAAAGAGACUGCAUAAAGCCCUACAGAGUUUGUGUUCCUUCUUAAAAAUGAUAGUGUAGAACUGAGAAAGUUCAGAGAAAGGCAAUAAGCAAUGUGUGCUUGUGUCACCACAUAAAUGAUGACUCAGAUUCUGAGGGAAAAAAAUGACUGUUCUUCACUUCUUUCCAAGAAGAUCUAGGGAUCUAUGAGCCUAGUGCUUAAGCAGUUCAAAACAAGCAGAAAAAAAUACGCCUAAAAAUAAAAGCAAACAAACAAACAUGGAAGAAGAUGCCACCAUUGUCAACUAAAAACCUGCAGAAGAGAUCCCACAUACAGAUUUUCUGGAGGCUGAGAGUUCUUCUGUGAAAAUCAUCACUACAUGUCUUCAUACUUCUCCCUAGGCACCUACUGUUGAUAACUGUUGGACACAUGCUCCUGGGCAGGUAGACCUUUGGGCUGACAGUACGGCCAUUUGUGUGUUCCUAUUGUACACAGUAGCAGUAGAAGAACUUGUCAUUGGGAGGACAGGAGUUUUCUGAUGCUUCUUAAAUUCAAGGAGGAUGAGACUGAAGGGUCAGCUUAUUCAUUCAGAUGUUGAUGCUUGGCGCAGACUAAAUCUAAUGAACUGAUGAUGCACAAGGGAUGAAAAGAAGGAGCUGUGCUUCUCAGAACUUUUGCUACAGGCUGCCUGAACAGAAAACAGACCAGGGGCUUGGGCAAAAAGGAUGCCAGUAAACUUCUCUGAGAUUACUGCUGGCUCCAGGCUCUCCUGUAGCCUGCAGUGAGUGG